CAAACGCGAUAUCUAAUAUGAAUUGCAGGCUUCUGUGAAUCAUCGAACCUUUGAACGUACUGCGCCCGGAUUAACCUCUGGGCACAUUCGGUUGAGUGACAACUUUUAUCGUGGAUCCGCUCCGCAACAGUUUACUGGGCGCGGGUAGAACCGAUUUCAGCGAGCUUGAUUAACAAUCAAUCCGCUCAGAUACGGCAAAAUUCGCUUGUGCUUUGCGCGCCUUGGAACCCGAUUGAUAAUAACAUUGAUUAGGUGUGAAAGGGCUUUGUGCGGGGCGCAGGAAAAACAAAGGGCUUUGCUUGUUAUUGUUAACCUUGCUUUAGCAGGGGAACCCCAUAUUUAUAUACAAGUUGUAUCUGUCCUCAACUCGAGUGAGACUACCCGCUGAACUUAA
rnacentral:misc_RNA from 1 species